rnacentral:lncRNA from 1 species
AAAUACAUACCCUGGGUGAACCUAACAGGAUGCAAGAGGCCAUCUGAGCUGCACUCUUCAAACCCACAGGAAACCCUCCUCUACUAUGUCCCGAGAACAAAGCCUCCUCCAGUCAUGUUGAUAAGAUGGAUCUUGUUGUACAGCCUUCUAGUAAGGCUGGCUCAGAGCAACAAUCAAGAUUCUGAAAAGUCUGAAAACAUCACCACACCUUCAUCAAAAAUUUUAGAUGCCUCUACUAAGUCAAAAGAACAUGGAAAACACAAGACAUUGCACAUUAUUUAUGCUUCAGUACCCGUGGGUCUAUGUUGUCCAUUCAUCUUCAUAUGCGUGUUUUGGAGUCUAAGGAGGUACUAUGGAAAGCGUAAGAGAACUCCAUCAGCACCACAGAGACAAGAGAGCCGGUUUAAAAUGUGGAGUAGGAUUGGAGACAGGUUUAAUUGUGCUGCCUGGAAAGAAUGGCUUCCCUGGCAUGAGGUAUCACCUUGCCUGAGCUGAAGGGAAAGAACUCAGCAUUUUUGCCACAAAGGUCAGAAGGCUAUCAGCUCUUCCAUCCCACGCUGAUGGGACAACUCCAGAUACAGAUGAAAGCUCCUCACUUUACUGUUCCAUGUCUAGCCCACCUCAGCUCUUGCCUGUCAACAAGAUUUAUGACAGUGUUCCUCAACGUAAUGCUCAGGAGACAGCAUCUAACUCACCUUCUAAUGAUCCUUCCAUCCCAGCUUCACUUGAAAGCCAAGAUGUCCUCAUAUAUGCCUCACUAAACCAUUCUGCUUCUACAAAUAAAUACCAGAGAAGGAAGUUCUCUAUAGAAAAUGAAUUUAUAGAAUAUGCCUCUAUUAAGGUAAAUAAAUAAAUACGGCAGACUUCAC